GAGAGGGAGGGACAGAGAGAGGGAGAGAGGGAGGGACAGAGAGAGAGGGAGGGGUGUUGUUUAGAUUCCCUGUCUGUUAAGUUCACUGUGGACAGGGUGCAAACACUAAGAGGAAAGAACAAACUGUCCUCUCUCUCUCUCCCUCUUCUGCCCAGAGCGGCAGCAGUGACAAACGCUCUCUCCAUUACACAACACAUGCACGUCAUUAUUUGUCCUGAAAGCUUCUUCCUUUGACCCGCCCGUGCUUCAAAACUCUGAAGGAGCUGAGGCGGGCCGUCGGAAACACUGAAGAAGGGGAGGGAAGUGAGACAGAGCACUGGUCUGCGGGGCGGGUGUUGGAUUGGAACCAUACUUCCCAGUGUGGAAGCAGUCAGUCGACGGUCGGAGAAGCGCUAGUAAGGAAGCAGUCGGUCUGAUUAUGAGUCAGCAUUCUAGUUAUAUGAGCCGCGGCUGAAGCGUUACAAAAACGGCUUGCGAAGGCUUUUAACACGGAAACAAAAAGGGUUUCUAGUACAGUAUUCUACAUUAUUGUUGGUGCAUAAAAAUAAACAAACAUGAGUAAACGGCAGUCAAACUACUACAGCCUUGAACCAGUUCCCUAAGGGAUAAAGCAACUAACACAGAAGAGGAGAUCCUUUUCAAUGACGUCGCCGUUGUGUUCUGUUAGUGUGCUGACGGCUUUGUCACGCUACAGACAACAGCAGCAGCAGCAGCUGGGUGGUACGGGGACAGCACGAGGACAUUCAUCCACAGCAAACGCCAAAGCAGCAUUUCUCAACCCAAUUCCAGGGGGACUGAAUGCACGUUUUGUUCCAGCCCAGCACUAACGCAACCUAUUCAACUGAUCAUCAAUUUGAUUAGCAGAAUAAUGGGCGUUAAGUGUAGGGCUGGAAUAAAACAUGCAAAUCAGGUGGGUCGUCGGGAAUGGGGCAAAGAAACCCUGCUUGGGGAGGAUAAUAAUAAUACCAUCCAUCCAUACUCUGUAGGAUAAUACCAUCCAUCCAUACUCUGUAGGAUGAUACCAUCCAUCCAUACUCUGUAGGAUGAUACCAUCCAUCCAUACUCUGUAGGAUAAUACCAUCCAUCCAUACUCUGUAGGAUAAUACCAUCCAUCCAUACUCUGUAGGAUAAUACCAUCCAUCCAUACUCUGUAGGAUAAUACCAUCCAUCCAUACUCUGUAGGAUAAUACCAUCCAUCCAUACUCUGUAGGAUAAUACCAUCCAUCCAUACUCUGUAGGAUAAUACCAUCCAUCCAUACUCUGUAGGAUAAUACCAUCCAUCCAUACGUCUGCAUGAAAAGUGCUGUCACCUGCUGCCUGCUGGACCGAAAUUCCUCACCACCUCACUAGAACUCCAGCCUACUGUUUCUGAAAAGAAGCGGAGGAAGAGGGCGUAGACGCCCCUCUCCAAUAAUAAUAAUAAUAACAACCUGUUUUCUACUACGUUGGGGGCCGUAUAUGAAGGGUCCCAUCUAAAACACAGCCUAGUCUAAAUCUGUGUAUAUAUUGAAUAUUGAAACCAAGUUUACAUUUCAUUGUCUUAGCAACACGUAAACGGUUAGGUGGUGGGGUGGAUUCUGUGGGUUUUGCUACAGUGCUAACCCCACUCACCCACCCCGACGACCUAUCUGCAGACAACGAUGAGCAUUGUUGUUCUUAUGGUAUUAUGAUGUGAUUGUAGAAUAAGAAAUGAAUAGAAUGUGCUACUCAUUCUGUUUCUAUGGUUGUAAUGGUCUGCCUCCAAGGGUUACGGUGGAUGGAAAGGAAGGAGCCAGACUGGCUGUAGACAGACAGUGUCACCUGACCAAUACGCUGCUUUAGGAAGUUUCAUCCUGAAUCCUUGUGUCCCCUCUGGGACAGGAAAACAAACAUACAAAACGAGUCAUCUUCUAUAUUACGACCCUGUUAUACCAGCGCUGGGGGUUGUCAGCGGGCUCAGCCAUCAGCUGCCCAUCCACACACGGUUCAGCAGCAUUCAACUCUCUCCAGGUUGGGGGGACGGGGACGGGGACGUAGGCCACUCCAUCCAGAGUAGGUCAGUGGCACAGAGGGCCAGUAAGUAACACACCUGUGGGAGCAGGGAAUGGGAGAGUCCAAGGUGGAAUAGUGGUGGUGGGUGUCAGGACGCCCCCCCCCCCCCCCCUUAAAAAAGGCCGAGUCACACCAUGCCAGCGCAGGCCUGAGCAAUGCACAACUCCCAAGUGAGGCUGCGUCACAAAUGGCACCUUAUGCACUAAGCAGGGAAUAGGGUGCCAUUUUUGGGACGCAGACUGAGUAAGUGCAUGGUGCCCUGUCUGUUAUACACACUGUUCUUUGGCAUUAUCAACUCAGGAGACAGCCAGGUGGGUAGUAGUAGUGUACUGACUGAGACAUGAGAAAAGCUCUCAGCACAGUAGUAGUCAGAGUUUAAACAGUGAGCAUUGCCAAAGGAACCUUUUCUAUACAUACCCAUCAUAUGUAGAAAAGGCUGUAUAUGGUAUUAUAUAUUUACGGAUUAACUUUGAUUUCAAUACAUUUUCAACCCUUCUUCGUCGCCUUCAAAAACAUUUUUUUUAUUUUUAUUUUUUAUUUUUUUUUAAACCCUGAGAAAAUACUGUGGACCGCUUUUAGUACAAAAUACAACUCUCUGAGACGGAAAAAAAAACAAAAA